GUCUUAGGCACAGUUCUGUCACACAUUUGGAACCUGCCAUGGCGUGGGAAGAUUGUGACGCAACACAAGCAAGGCAACUACCCAGCGCUCUUCCCAACUGUGCCGUCUCAGAGUCAUCAAGCUCCUUGCCCAAGCUUUCCUGACGAACCUUCUCAUUCCUACCCUCAAAAUUUCCUGCAUCUCUCUCCACAGAGCAAUGCUGUAUCUGAAGAAUUCAACUCCCAUGGGAACUCUCCAUAUUUCAGCAUCUUUAUCGCUUUGCAUGAAGAUGAAAAGCAAACAGCAAAAGAAAUGGGGAGGAGGAGGGAAUGGCCAAAUCCUCACUGCAAGGCCAGACCUACCAAGACACAUCUGACAAGGCCUGCCCAAUGAGGAAUACUGCAUGAGAAUUUGGAAAGGAGGACCCUGCCAUAUGACCAGAGACACUGCUCAGACAGCAGGUAGCCUUCCUGCCCAGGCACCAGAAUCAACACUUCCCAAGCAGCAGCAACUGCUCCCUCCAACUCUUUCAAGCACAGCUUAAUCCUUUACAACACAAUUCUCCAAAAGCUGCAGAAGACAACUGAACAGCUUGAAACCUCUGCUCAGAUAUUCUGCUUGGGAUGGAGAUUGGUUUUCAGCGCCAGCAGCUGAACAUGUGACCUCCUGUUCUUCCACUUCUUCACCACCCAGAACAUCCAGGGCAUACGCACCUACAAGCCAGGGCCCUCCAAGGCAAGCCUGGCAACUCCACAUUUUGCAAGGCCAUUAAGACCACUGCCUUUGGCCCACAACAGAGGAACCCUGCUCAGGCAUGAUUCACUCAAGUCACUGACCACAGAGGAAGAAUUCCCAUAUCCUGAAAGAGCAAGUGGUCUUUUUCAGCUCAUCCAUUACGCUUCUUCUCUAGGACACCAACUAUUAAGGCCGUAAGUUCUACUGAUGUAAUUUAAAACAGGACCCUUGGAAUAAUUCCCCUUGUUCACUCAUUCCCAGGUGGUAACUUCUAGGAUCAUGAAUUCAUGUACUACACAAAAAAUUUUAAUAAAAUACACAGUCUGUA